rnacentral:rRNA from 1 species
GAUGAACGCUGGCGGCGUGCUUAACACACGCAAGUCGAACGAAGCAUUUGCGACAGAUUUUUUCGGAAUGAAGUUGCUUAUGACUGAGUGGCGGACGGGUGAGUAACGCGUGGGUAACCUGCCUUGUACUGGGGGAUAGCAGCUGGAAACGGCUGGUAAUACCGCACAAGCGCACAAUGUUGCAUGACAUGGUGUGAAAAACUCCGGUGGUAUAAGAUGGACCCGCGUCUGAUUAGCUAGUUGGUGAGAUAACAGCCCACCAAGGCGACGAUCAGUAGCCGACCUGAGAGGGUGACCGGCCACAUUGGGACUGAGACACGGCCCAGACUCCUACGGGAGGCAGCAGUGGGGAAUAUUGCACAAUGGAGGAAACUCUGAUGCAGCGACGCCGCGUGAGUGAAGAAGUAAUUCGUUAUGUAAAGCUCUAUCAGCAGGGAAGAUAGUGACGGUACCUGACGAAGAAGCUCCGGCUAAAUACGUG